rnacentral:rRNA from 1 species
AUUGAACGCUGGCGGCAGGCCUAACACAUGCAAGUCGAACGGUAACAGGAAACAGCUUGCUGUUUCGCUGACGGGUGGCGGACGGGUGAGUAAUGUCUGGGAAACUGCCUGAUGGAGGGGGAUAACUACUGGAAACGGUAGCUAAUACCGCAUAACGUCGCAAGACCAAAGAGGGGGACCCUCGGGCCUCUUGCCAUCGGAUGUGCCCAGAUGGGAUUAGCUUGUUGGUGGGGUAACGGCUCACCAAGGCGACGAUCCCUAGCUGGUCUGAGAGGAUGACAGCCAACCCGGAAACUGAGCCACGUCCCAGCUCCUUAGGGAGGGCAGCGGUGGGAAAUUUUGCCAAAGGGGGGAAAGCCUGUUGAGGCCAGGCGGGGGGUAUGAGGAGGGCUUCGGGUUUGUAAAGUCUUUUAGGCGGGGAGAAAGGAAGUAAGUUUAAACCUUUUCUCAUUGAAGGUACCCGCAGAAGAAGCACCGGCUAACUCCGUG